UGGGGAAUUUUGGACAAUGGGCGAAAGCCUGAUCCAGCAAUGCCGCGUGUGUGAAGAAGGCCUUCGGGUUGUAAAGCACUUUUGUCCGGAAAGAAAAUCCUUGGCUCUAAUACAGUCGGGGGAUGACGGUACCGGAAGAAUAAGCACCGGCUAACUACGUGCCAGCAGCCGCGGUAAUACGGUAGGGUGCAAGCGUUAAUCGGAAUUACUGGGCGUAAAGCGUGCGCAGGCGGUUUGCUAAGACCGAUGUGAAAUCCCCGGGCUCAACCUGGGAACUGCAUUGGUGACUGGCAGGCUAGAGUAUGGCAGAGGGGGGUAGAAUUCCACGUNUAGCAGUGAAAAUGCGUAGAGAUGUGGAGGAAAUACCGAUGGCGAAGCAGCCCCCUGGGCAAAUACUGACGCUCAUGCACGAAAAGCGUGGGGAGCAAAACAGGAUUAGAUACCCCUGGUAGUCCACGCCCUAAAACGAUGUCAACUAGUUGUU
rnacentral:rRNA from 1 species